GUUUGCUCCCAGCAAACAGAGAGCAUGUUCUGAAAAAUACUAUGAAAAUGAUGGAAGUGCUGAAGUGGAGACGUUCUCUAAUUCUUGGUAGCUGGAAUACUCACUACCAUUCCCAUGAGCCACCUUCCAUCUUAAGCAGGCACAGGAGGACCAGCGUCAGCCCUUCAGCUGCUUCUCCACCCUGCAACAAGGAGAAUAAAACAGGACCACUGGGAACAUUAGCACAUCCCCUGGUGGAAAAAAAAAAACCAACAAAAAACUAAUGCUUAAGGCACGGAUCUCCACCUCAGAAGCCUCUUGCAACCAACAGCACUACAUCCUCACUAUCAUGACUGAAUGGCUGUGAAGGCUGAAUAUCACCUCCCAGAUCAAAAAGUCCCCCUCCUCACCAUCCCUGGAGGGUAAAUAUCUGCAGCAAAUCCAGGAGGUCCUAAAAUCCCAUGGAAAGAUGGAGUCCAUGACUUUACAGCAGCCCAUCUGGAGGUCUGCCCGUUGGUCAGGACUCAAGACACCCCUUCUCUACUUCUGCAACAGUCCUGCUUUUACAUCAUAAAUGUUAGACAACACAAUUCUACUGCAUGGCUUGUUUUCUUCAAAUGUAAUAAUUUACUCAAAAGCCACAAAGAAAUAAAUUUCCCCAAAGAUACUUAUUUAAAGCAUUUUCUACAG
ensembl:lncRNA